rnacentral:ncRNA from 1 species
AACUUAAAGGUUUGGUUCUGACCCCCAGUUCUCUCCCUAAAAAUAUACACAUGAUACCCUUCCGAUCCCAGUGGGCACCCUGAAUCAAAUUAAAAAUUUUUCAGAAAAUGAAUUAGAUAUAAUCAAAAAUUCAUCUCUCUCCACAACUUCAGUGAUCAAUAUUGAGCCAUUAACUCCAGUUAGACUCAGUUAAAAAGAAUAAAGAUUGGCUAAUCCUGUGCCAGCAGCCGCGGUUACACAGAAAAUCUAAGACAACAUCAAACAGUAAAAAGGGGGUAGAUAAACACAAGGAGCCAAUAAAAACAAUAAGAGUAAAAUCACACCUCCCCUAAGCCCUUGCUCCCAAUAAAACCCCUCAAAGCUAGCUAUAAAACCGGGAUUAGACACCCCGCUAUUCUAGCCCUAAAACUUAAACACUAGGGCACUACGAAAAACCUUUAAAACCCAAAGAACUUGGCGGCCCUUUAUACCCCAUCAGGGGAGCCUGUCCUAGAACUGAUAUUCCACAACUAACCCCACUUGUCCUCGCCCCUCAGCCUGUAUACCGCCGUCGCCAGCCCACCUAAAAAAGCCAGUAUGCCCAAUAGAAACCUCUAGAACGUCAGGUCAAGGUGCAGUCCAUGGACAAGAAGAGAUGGGCUACAGUAUCCACCAAGCUCGGAAUCCCGAAUGAAAAAAAGAAAAAGAAGGACUUGAAAGUAAUGGGACAAAGAACCCCCAUGAAUAGAGCAAUAAAGCGUGCACACAUCGCCCGUCGUUCUCCUCAAAAGAAGAGACAAGUCGUAACAAAGUAGGGGUACCAGAAGGUGCCCCUUAC